ACGAAGGGAGCAAGCGUUGUUCGGAAUAACUGGGCGUAAAGGGCGCGUAGGCGGAUAUAUAAGUUUGAUGUGAAAUACCUGGGCUCAACCUAGGAGUUGCAUUGAAAACUGUGUAUCUAGAGUGUUGAAGGGGAUGAUGGAAUUAUGCAUGGAGAGGUGGAAUUCAUAGAUAUGCAUAGGAACACCGGAGGCGAAGGCGAUCAUCUGGGCAACAACUGACGCUGAGGCGCGAAAGCGUGGGGAGCAAACAG
rnacentral:rRNA from 1 species